rnacentral:rRNA from 1 species
UACGAACCGUGCGAACGUUGUUCGGAUUCACUGGGCUUAAAGCGUGUGUAGGCGGAUCGGUAAGUACCUUGUGAAAUCCCACAGCUUAACUGUGGAACUGCUUGGUAUACUGCCAGUCUUGAGCCAGCUAGGGGCUACCGGAACAAAUGGUGGAGCGGUGAAAUGCGUAGAUAUCAUUUGGAACGCCAAUGGUGAAAACAGGUAGCUGGGGCUGUGCUGACGCUGAGACACGAAAGCCAGGGGAGCAAACGGG